UCCCUACGGGACGCAGCAGUGAGGAAUAUUGGUCAAUGGGCGCGAGCCUGAACCAGCCAAGUCGCGUGAGGGAAGACGGUCCUAUGGGUUGUAAACCUCUUUUGUCGGAGAACAAAACCCGGGACGUGUCCCGGACUGCGUGUAUCCGAAGAAAAAGCAUCGGCUAACUCCGUGCCAGCAGCCGCGGUAAUACGGAGGAUGCGAGCGUUAUCCGGAUUUAUUGGGUUUAAAGGGUGCGUAGGCGGUCCGUUAAGUCAGCGGUAAAAUUGCGGGGCUCAACCCUGUCGAGCCGUUGAAACUGGCAG
rnacentral:rRNA from 1 species